UCUUGUGGGGGUGUGUCCGCAUGGAGUGCACACAUGGGGAUGCAGCAAACAGGUCCCAGCAGUAGCAAAUCAGCUUGUUAGGCUGGGUUAGUGAGCAGAGAAAGGGGGAGGGGUAGAGUUAUUUAGUGGGAUUUAGCUUUAGUUUGGUCUGUUUUGGGUUAUUUAGUUAUUUCGGGUUAAUUUAUAUUCAUUUAUGUUCUUCCUAUUAAGUAUUAGGGCUAUUGUAUAUCCGGAUUAAGUUGUUAGAGGUCAGAUUUGCACAUACCUAUCACUAAUCACUGUCAUGCAGGUGAGAGAAAGAGGGAGGGGGGAGCAGGUGAGAGAGCCCCACUCAGCUUAAAAGUGGACACACCUGUGUGAGUGGGGAGAGGUGUGGGUGGCUUUUUGCAGCCUGCUACUCAAAGGAUGAUCAUUGUUAAGACUGCUGUGUGUGAUCACUUGGAUUUAUUAAAAAUAUCAGAGCUCUGAAACCUGCUGUCUGACACCAUCCUUUUUUCCUCAUGCUGGAUAUCUUCACUACCGCUUGGUUCCAUUCCGUUUAGAGGUUUUAUGACCAUCAAAACCUUACAUGUGGUGUCAGAAGUGGGAUCUGACGCAAUCAGAGUGAAGAGUUUCAGCUUUGAGGACAGACAGCAUGGGACCAAAAACUCAAGCCAAAACUCCAAGGAGAGAAGCUGUUGAGGAUUGCCCGGAUGAGGGUGCAGCAGGAGAGUCCAGAAUUCUGAGGCCAAGGGAGGCGCACCAGGGGCCUCCAGAAAUGGAUUCCAUUAACAGCAUGUUGCAGCAAUGUCUUCACUUUCAGCAUGACCUGAGUGAAAGGUGGGAAAAAGAGACAAUUAAACAGGACAAGAGGUGGCGCCAAAUGCAGAUUCAAGUCAACAGCAUCAAAGAUGAACUGGAGCAGCAGCAGAGGGGAGAAAGCUAUCCUCAGCAGAGCAUGCCAGGGGCACAGCACGAGGUGGAGGAGCAGGGGGCCCAACCCAGCACCCGCAGUGAGUCAAGGGGUAGGAGCUGGGGGCAGGCAGCAAUUCCUCGGCUGGAGGAAGGGGACGAUAUUGAGCAGUACCUGACCACCGUUGAGCGCCUUGCAGUGGCCUACCAGUGGCCAGAGGAUGAGUGGGUCAUAUGGUUGGUUCCUCAUCUGACUGGUAAGGCUCGAGCAGCUUAUGUGGCCAUGGCUGCAGAGGACACAUUGGACUAUAAGAGGGUCAAAGAAGCCAUCCUUGCCAAGUAUGAAAUCAACGAGGACAUCUAUCGGCAGAGGUUUAGAGAACCAGACAUCCGACCAAAUGAGAGCCCAAAAGAGUUCUACAAUCGACUUAAAGACCUCUACAACAAAUGGAUCCAGCCUGAGAAGAGGACAAAGGACCAGGUGGGAGAGAUCUUCAUUCUGGAGCAGUUCUACCGUUCCCUUUCCAUGGAGCUGAGAGUGUGGGUGAAGGAAAGAGAUCCAAAGACUGCACGAGAGGCAGCUCAGCUGGUGGAAACCUUCCUUGCCGCUCGACGGGGGUACAAGAACUACAGAUUCGAGUCUCCAAAAAAGUCCAGCCCGGUACGGGGUAAGCCAUGCGGGUCCGGGGUUGGUAGUGGUCCUAAGGAAAUAGAACCAGUUAGACCUGUAGAGAAGCCUGUAGCUAAUUUUAAACCAAGGUCAACUGCUAAGCCUGUAUGCUUUUAUUGUGGUCAGGAAGGUCACAUUAAACCAGAAUGCCCAGCUAGAAAAGCUAAAGCUGCUUAUUUCUGCACUGUACCUCGUCCUAAUCAGAAUGAGAAGGGCAUAGUAGUAAAACAGCAGGUCACCACUGUUAAAAUUAAUGGUAAACCAGCAAAUGCUCUACUUGAUACUGGCAGCUCCCAUACUUUGAUCCAUCCUUCAUUAGUUUCAAAGGAAAUUGUCUUAGGAAAGCCAGAACUUGAUAUAUCUUGUGUACAUGGACAUUGUAAAACUUACCCAACCACAGAGGUGUAUCUGGAGGUGGCAGGGCAAACUUACAUAGUGUCAGUGGGGGUGAUAGAGAGCUUAGCUCAUCAGGUCAUUUUGGGGCAGGACAUUCCAAUCCUUCAGGAGUUGGUUCGGGGAUGUAGACCAGUUAACAUAGUUACUAGGUCACAGAGACAGACUCAGGCUUUGGAGGAGAAGCAAGUGAGUGGGAACCAGCCAGAACCAGAUGUAGAGGAGCAAGUCCCCCAGCCAACAUUGCAGAGUGAGACAGAUGUAGGGUGUCCACAGUCCAUAGCUGAGGAGGAUUUCAGGGCCCUCUCAGAGUUUCCUUUCUUUAAUGAGGACUUUUUAGAUAGUUCUGUUAAAGUAAGGAAAAGUCGUAGGCAGAGAAGACUAGAGAAAAUGGAAGGGACAAUUAGAUCAGGUUCAGGGCUGGCAGAGCUAGAGCCUAGGGGUGAAGACACAGGUAGUAAAUUCUUACAGCAGCAAGAACAGGAUGAAUCAUUGCAGGAUUUCUUUCAGCAAGCAAAAGUAGUGCAGCCGGGGCAGGUAGCAGGGAUGGGUUUUUUCCUCAGGGGCCAGGUACUGUACUACAAGGCUGAUCUAGAUGACAGGGAAAGGUUAGUGGUUCCACAGGGACAUCGGGAGCAGGUGCUUAAGCUAGGCCAUAGCAUUCCAUGGGCGGGUCAUCUAGGGGCCAAGAAGACAUUGGACAGAAUUUCCAGUCGGUUUUAUUGGCCAGGGUUAAGCUCAGAUGUACAAAAGUAUUGUCAGACCUGCUCUGUUUGUCAGCUAACAGGGGAUAAGAGGGUUCCCAAAUACCCAUUGCAGCCUCUUCCAGUCAUCGAUGUCCCAUUUAGUCGAAUAGCUAUGGAUAUUGUUGGCCCUCUAGAGAGAACACAGUCAGGACAUCGCUAUAUACUUGUAGUCUGUGAUUACAGUACCAGAUAUCCUGAAGCAUUUCCACUGAGAGAUAUUACUGCUAAACAAAUAGCAUAUGCAUUGUUGCAGCUUUUCUCGAGAGUAGGCAUUCCAACUGAGAUAAUAACAGAUCAGGGCACAAACUUUCUUUCAAAUACACUGAAACAGGUGUAUAGGCUCUUAGGUAUUAGGAGUAUUCGGACCACCCCUUACCACCCACAGACCGAUGGCCUGGUGGAGAGAUACAACCGAACUCUCAAAAGCAUGCUGAAAAAGUUCAUCUCCACUAACGCAAAAGACUGGGAUAAGUGGCUCCCGUAUCUCCUUUUUGCCUACAGGGAGGUGCCCCAAGCAUCAACCGGUUUUUCACCGUUCGAGCUCCUCUAUGGAAGGCAGGUGAGGGGUCCCCUUGAUGUGCUACAGGAAUCCUGGGUGGCACCCCAGGAGAAGAAAACAGGUCUGCUGACAUUUGUACUGGAAAUGAGAGAGAAGAUGGAACAGACUACAAAUCUGGUGAGAAAAAACAUGAUGAAGGCACAAAAAGGACAACAAACCUGGUACGACAGGGCGGCCAGAGAGAGAUCAUUCAACCCAGGGCAAAAGGUACUGCUUUUACUUCCAACAGUGGAGAACAAGCUGCUGGCAAAAUGGCAGGGUCCAUAUACUGUGCAGAGGAAGCUAAGUCAAACAAUUUAUGAGAUUGAGGUACCAGAGAGGAGAAAUCCAAAGCAGACUUUCCAUAUUAAUCUGCUGAAGGAGUGGAAAACCCGGGAAAAUCCACCCCAACAGCAGUUUUUUGUUCGAAAUGUGGAAGAGGAAGAUGAUGUUGUUGGUGAGUUUACUCCUACCUGUCAGAGCUCUGCAUCCCUUGACCUCUCUCAUCUCUCCCCAACCCAGCAGCAGGAGCUACAAGCCAUUGUGCCACCAGACCUGUUUCAGGAGAGACCGGGGGCGACGAAUCUGGUGGAACACGACAUCCGCCUGAAAAACAGUACCCCUAUUCGGCAAAAGAUGUAUCGCAUUCCACACAAGUUGAUCCCAGUGUUAGAGGAGGAGGUGGCAGUCAUGCUGGAGCUGGGAGUGAUUGAGCCCUCGACCAGUGAAUGGAGCAGUCCUAUUGUGCUGGUAAUCAAGAAAGAUGGGAGCAUCAGGUUCUGCAUCGACUUCCGGAAGGUGAAUGCACAAUCUGAGUUUGACGCCUAUCCUUUGCCCAGACUGGAUGACCUCAUUGAACGGGUAGGCCAAGCCAAGUUCAUAACUACCCUGGAUCUCUGUAAAGGCUAUUGGCAGGUGCCACUGUCUGAUGCUGCUAAGCCUCUCACUGCCUUCAGAACACCUCAGGGACUCUGGCAGUUCACCAAGAUGCCGUUUGGUCUCCACGGCGCCCCAGCGACCUUCCAGAGGUUGAUGAAUCAAGUGCUGGUGGGUAUGGAGUCCUAUGCAGCAGCUUACCUGGAUGAUAUUGUUAUUUACAGUACCUCCUGGAGGGACCAUCUGAGCCAUCUGCAGGUCGUGCUGGGGAAAAUCAAGGAGGCAGGCCUUACUAUCAACCCUAAGAAAUGUGCAGUGGCUAAGCAGGAGACACAGUACCUGGGCUACAUCCUUGGGGGCGGAGUCAUCAAGCCUGUACAGGAUAAGGUGGAGGCGAUCCGGGCAAGGGAGAGGCCGACAACCAGGAAGCAGGUGAAGUCCUUCUUGGGUCUGGUCGGCUGGUACCGGCGUUUUAUCCGGGAUUUCUCUGCCAGGGCGGCCCCUUUAACAGACCUCACAAGCACAGCAAAAACCAAGGUGGUGUGGGGUGACGAGCAGGAGAAGGCCUUUCAAGACCUCAAAGAAGCUCUGUGCCAGGACCCUGUGCUGCAGAGCCCAAACUUCAUCUUACCCUUCACAGUUCAGACAGACGCAUCACAGCGGGGGAUAGGAGGAGUCCUUCUACAAGGGGAUGGAGAGGGGAGGAAACCAGUGGCCUACAUCAGCAGGAAGCUUUUUCCCCGGGAGACCAGAUACUCGGCGGUGGAGCUGGAGUGUUUGGCCAUUAAGUGGGCCAUCGACACCUUCAAAUACUACCUGAUGGGAAGAGAGUUCAAGCUGGAAACCGACCACCGAGCACUGCAAUGGCUGGAGAAGAUGAGGGACACCAACAGUCGCAUCACCAGGUGGUUUCUGUCCCUGCAACCGUAUCGGUUCUCCAUCCACUACAUGCCAGGGAAACAGAACACAGUGGCAGACUUCUUGUCUCGCAACCAGGUUGGCGAGCCUGCCGGAGGGGAGGAGAAGUGUGAGGGAGCUGGAAAACCCUCCCCUCACUGAGGUGAAGUCGGUACAAUAUCUGACUAUUCAUGGACAUGGUUUUUGUUUAUUUUAUUGUGUUAAACACUGCUAACCUCUCCUCUCUUCGAGGUCACCAUCUUGUGGGGGCGUGUCCGCAUGGAGUGCACACAUGGGGAUGCAGCAAACAGGUCCCAGCAGUAGCAAAUCAGCUUGUUAGGCUGGGUUAGUGAGCAGAGAAAGGGGGAGGGGUAGAGUUAUUUAGUGGGAUUUAGCUUUAGUUUGGUCUGUUUUGGGUUAUUUAGUUAUUUCGGGUUAAUUUAUAUUCAUUUAUGUUCUUCCUAUUAAGUAUUAGGGCUAUUGUAUAUCCGGAUUAAGUUGUUAGAGGUCAGAUUUGCACAUACCUAUCACUAAUCACUGUCAUGCAGGUGAGAGAAAGAGGGAGGGGGGAGCAGGUGAGAGAGCCCCACUCAGCUUAAAAGUGGACACACCUGUGUGAGUGGGGAGAGGUGUGGGUGGCUUUCUGCAGCCUGCUACUCAAAGGAUGAUCAUUGUUAAGACUGCUGUGUGUGAUCACUUGGAUUUAUUAAAAAUAUCAGAGCUCUGAAACCUGCUGUCUGACACCAUCCUUUUUUCCUCAUGCUGGA